rnacentral:lncRNA from 1 species
UUCUGUUUUCAGCUCGGAGUAAGAUGUCUUCCAGUGUUCGGAGAUCAGUGUCCACGUCGGUUUGGUAAGAAGACAGGAAGUCUGCAAUGCCACAGGUGGUUGGGCAGAAACUACCCUGCAAGUCAAUUUAAGGAAGUGCUGGACUGAGGCAUGGGACAUCACUACAGAAGUUCCAGUUAGAGCAGAGAUUCACUCCAGUUGUGUAACUUACUACAGAAUAUUUUGUCAUUUUAGAGAGAUCGAAUGUCAAUGAAUACAGUUAUACUGCUCGUGCUAGCUAUGUGCCAAAGAGAGAUCACAGCGUCCCGAACCAAGACGCCAGUGUGCUUUAGACUCUUCAGAGAAGUCGACAAAGUUGACAAAGAUUUUAAUCUCCCCCUCUUUCCAUGAUGAUUCUUCAUCUCUGCUCACACCGUUCUCCUUUCUCUGAGGAACCUCG